CCAAAACUCAAAAUAGAUUUUGAAAUUCCCUCUACAUUCAUCUAUAAAUAAGGGAUGUUCCUAUACAUAACUAUUCCCUUCACAAUUCUAAAAAAAUCACCAACAAUGGUGAGCAAAAAUCUGUCAAACCAAGAGAUGAAUCGAAUCGUCCAAUAUCUACUACAAAAUCUGAAAAACGGCAAGCCAAGGAGUGGAGCCAUGAAGGAGGCUGUCACCAUCUUCAAGUCCUCGAAGCGGACUGUCACUCGUCUUUGGGCUGCAGCUAAUAAACAACAAGACAAAGGUGAGCAAAUUUAUCUUACAAGUGCAAAACCAAAUGCACCUAGAAGGAAGAGAGUUCAUGUAGACCUAGAGCUAAUACAAAGCUUAGAUCUACAAAAAUGAUCGACAAUACGUAGGCUGGCCGUGGGGAUCAAUCGAAGCAAAAACACAGUUUGGAGGUGGGUUAAUCAAGGGCUGAUCAGAGCCCACACAAGCGCAAUUAAGUCUGACUUGACAGCCCCGAAUAAAUUGCUUCGACUACAGUUUUUAUUAGAAGCAUUGGAGUUUGAUCAAAUCAUGAUGGCGUUAAAGUUGAAGGCCAUGAAC
rnacentral:lncRNA from 1 species